UGGGGAAUUUUGGGCAAUGGGCGAAAGCCUGACCCAGCAACGCCGCGUGAAGGAUGAAGUAUUUCGGUAUGUAAACUUCGAAAGAAUAGGAAGAAUAAAUGACGGUACUAUUUAUAAGGUCCGGCUAACUACGUGCCAGCAGCCGCGGUAAUACGUAGGGACCAAGCGUUGUUCGGAUUUACUGGGCGUAAAGGGCGCGUAGGCGGCAAUUCAAGUCAUCUGUGAAAUCUCCGGGCUUAACUCGGAACGGUCAGAUGAUACUGCUUUGCUAGAGUGCAGAAGGGGCAAUCGGAAUUCUUGGUGUAGCGGUGAAAUGCGUAGAUAUAGGAAGGAACACCAGUGGCGAAGGCGACCACCUGGACUGAUACUGACACUGAGGUGCGAAAGCGUGGGGAGCAAACAGGAUUAGAUACCCCCUAGUCCCUGAGCGGGCUGGCAAGGCGCAU
rnacentral:rRNA from 1 species